rnacentral:rRNA from 1 species
AAAUUGAAGAGUUUGAUCAUGGCUCAGAUUGAACGCUGGCGGCAGGCCUAACACAUGCAAGUCGAGCGGAAACGACAUUAUUGA